rnacentral:rRNA from 1 species
UACGUAGGGGGCAAGCGUUGUCCGGAAUCAUUGGGCGUAAAGAACGUGUAGGCGGCUCGGUAAGUCCGCUGUGAAAGUCCAGGGCUCAACCCUGGAAUGCCGGUGGAAACUGUCGAGCUAGAGUCCGGAAGAGGCGAGUGGAAUCCUGGUGUAGCGGUGAAAUGCGCAGAUAUCAGGAGGAACACCAAUGGCGAAGGCAGCUCGCUGGGACGGUACUGACGCUGAGACGCGAAAGCGUGGGGAGCAAACAGG